AAAGCAAAAUAAUUUACCGAGACCACGUCAGAAAACAAAGUAUAUAAUAAUUCAGGGGUGAAAGGGAAACAAAAAAUCUCGGCAACUAAAGAAAAAUUGGAAAAGGAAAGUGCGAUUAAAAAAUAAUCUUUCGACCUGUGUUAAGUCAGGUUAAUCACUUGGUUAAAUUACUUAUGUCUUUAUCUCGGGUUACGGUACAAUCAAAAUCGAUUUCAUCGUCUUCUUUAUCUCUUUCUCUCUUCAUCGUCAUUCAUCAUCAUCAUCAUUCAUCAUCAUCAAAUCUCAGGAUCUUGGAGGUGGCUCUUCUCUUUCGUACCUACCUUCUAGACUGUGAUUUCCAAUCUUCGAACUCUCGUAGAGGAUUGAAAGAGCUGCUGAGUCCACGAGUUCUUCUCCAUCAGUAGCUUCCGGUGAUAGAACCCUAAUCCAUGAUGAUGAAUUCACUCUAACAGAGGUUAUAUUGUUGUCAACCUAUCAAAUCCCUAAUCAAGAGUUUCUUCAAAUUCAGUGUGUCAAUGUGAUCGAGCACUUAGUGAAGUAGAUGAGAUUUUUGGUUAAUCAUAUUUUCAAAGACAAAUCUUCACUUUCGAUCAAUUCAUGGAAGCAAAUUUCUCAAGAUACAUAUGAAGUAGUAUCUAGUUCGGUUCAUGGCUCAUCAAUUACUAUUUUUUCCAUCUUGUCGGAGCUCUUGAGCUCUCGGUAUUACAGAGAACGAUAUGGUGCUUUUGAGACUUCACUUUCCUAGUAUUCUGAGUUUCAAUGUCUUCGGAGGCGUCUUCAAUCAAUAGCAAAAGCACCAGAUUUCACUUGAAUAUGCAUCUUGGUUCGAAAGGCUUCAGUAAUCGCGGAAGCCAAUUGAAUUUUUUUAGAAGAUGAGGUAAUUAAAGAAGAUUGCAUUAACUUUAUCCGCGUCAAGGUCCGUACCAUAAGUCCAAGAUCCACGUAUAUAACCGCCCAAAUGCAUCCAGGAUCCGCGUGUUUAUCCGACACCAAACCCAGGAUCCGCGUUUUUUUGUUUUUUUUGUUCUAUUCAAAUUGUCAAUUUUAUCCUUUCACGAUCUUUUUCAUUGAUUCUUUGAAUGCAAAAUUCCUAAUGGCAUUCUCUUGUAAUUUUUUACACUUUAUAAGGUUUAUUAUUAGGGAAUGCUUCCCAAUUAAUAGUA